UUUUUGCGUUAGUGAUUGAAACGACAUCCUUUUUUGAAGAUUGAUUCAAUUAAAUAGGAAAUAUAAUAAUUAUCUUACUUUCGUUUUUUGACACAAGAAUAUACAAAAAAGAUAUAGUGUAAAGCACGACCUUUA
rnacentral:sRNA from 1 species